CGGCUAACCGAUCCGCAAGCACUGGAUCGGAAUGGGGCGAAUCUGCCACGUUGCUCCGAACUGACAGAGCAAAGCGCCCGACUUUUUGGCCUAUACCGUGCACACCUCACGACGCCACGGACGACCGCGCGGCAAUAGCGCCCUUGGCCAGCGAGUAGAGGUUCGACACCGAAAGGGCCAUGGGGUGGUCUUCGGGCACGCCCACGCUCGCGGCCUCGGACCGAAAGGUGCCAUAGAGAUCGUCGGCCUGCUUUUCGGCGUGACGCCAGCCGGGUCCGACGCUGGCGGGCGUCGCCUGUCCCGGCCGUGGUCCGGUCGGCGUGCGCGGCGGCCCAUAGGCCUUGCGUAGCGACUGCCGCAGCGGGUCGGGCAUGGCUUUGAUGCCCUCGCGCACCAUUUCGUCGAUGCGCGCCUGCUCCUCGGGAUCGAUCGACGAUUCCCCACCCGCGAUUCCAAUGUCGGCGUCGCCGUCGUCCAAUGGUUCCUCCAGGCCCGACGCGUUCUCCAUGUCGCUGCCGGCAUUGGCCUCGUCGGCCUCUCUGUCGUCGUCUUCGUCGUCAUCACGAGCAGGCGGCGCCUCCUUUUUCGGCGGGGCCUUUUUGGCGCGUGGCGCCGGCGGGUCGGAGCACUCUUGGACAAAGGCCGCCCAGUGGGUCUCGACGAGGCCCAUGAUCGGUUUGUAGGCGCGCGCGCUGGCGCCGUCCUUUUUCGCCAGGUAGACAAACAUGGGCUCCAUCCACGCGGGUAUCUUUUUCGGAA
rnacentral:lncRNA from 1 species